GGGCGAAUGGUCUAGUGGUAUGAUUUUCCCUUAGCAUGUUUCUUCCUGUGGUAGAUUAGCUUGGGAGAGGUCCGGGGUUCAAUUCCCCGUUCGUCCA